AGAGUUUGAUCCUGGCUCAGAUUGAACGCUGGCGGCAUGCUUUACACAUGCAAGUCGAGCGGCAGCGCGGGGGCAACCCUGGCGGCGAGCGGCGAACGGGUGAGUAACACAUCGGAACGUAUCCCGUAGAGGGGGAUAGCCCGGCGAAAGCCGGAUUAAUACCGCAUAUGCUCUACGGAGGAAAGCAGGGGACCUGAAAGGGCCUUGCGCUAUGGGAGCGGCCGAUGUCCGAUUAGCUUGUUGGCGGGGUAAUGGCCCACCAAGGCGACGAUCGGUAGCUGGUCUGAGAGGAUGAUCAGCCACACUGGGACUGAGACACGGCCCAGACUCCUACGGGAGGCAGCAGUGGGGAAUUUUGGACAAUGGGGGAAACCCUGAUCCAGCCAUGCCGCGUGAGUGAAGAAGGCCUUCGGGUUGUAAAGCUCUUUUGGUCGGAAAGAAGGAGUUCGGGUGAAUAACCUGGAUUUUUGACGGUACCGGCAGAAUAAGCACCGGCUAACUACGUGCCAGCAGCCGCGGUAAUACGUAGGGUGCGAGCGUUAAUCGGAAUUACUGGGCGUAAAGAGUGCGUAGGCGGUCUUUCGAGUCCGUUGUGAAAGCCCCGGGCUCAACCUGGGAAUGGCAGUGGAAACUAGAAGACUUGAAUCUGGCAGAGGGGGGUGGAAUUCCACGUGUAGCAGUGAAAUGCGUAGAGAUGUGGAGGAACACCGAUGGCGAAGGCAGCCCCCUGGGCUGAGAUUGACGCUCAGGCACGAAAGCGUGGGGAGCAAACAGGAUUAGAUACCCUAGUAGUCC
rnacentral:rRNA from 1 species